rnacentral:rRNA from 1 species
CAAUAGCGUAUAUUAAAGUUGUUGCAGUUAAAAAGCUCGUAGUUGGACUUCUGCGGGUGGCGGCCGGUCGUGCUCGAAACGGGCGUGAACUUGGCGUGCUGCCCGCAUCUUUGGGGAGAUUGUGCGUGGCAUUAAGUUGUCGUGCAUGGGAUUCUCAUCAUUUACUGUGAAAAAAUUAGAGUGUUUAAAGCAGGCCUUUGCCUUGAAUACAUUAGCAUGGAAUAAUAAGAUAGGACCGUUGUCUAUUUUGUUGGUUUACAGAUGUCGGUAAUGAUUAAUAGGGAUAGUUGGGGGUAUUCGUAUUCAGUUGUCAGAGGUGAAAUUCUUGGAUUUUCGGAAGACGCACGACUGCGAAAGCAUUUACCAAGGAUGUUUUCAUUGA